rnacentral:sRNA from 1 species
UCAUAAUUGGUUUCAGUCACAGAUAAAUGC